rnacentral:rRNA from 1 species
GGCCCAGACUCCUACGGGAGGCAGCAGUGAGGAAUAUUGGUCAAUGGUCGGGAGACUGAACCAGCCAAGCCGCGUGAGGGAUGAAGGUACAGAGUAUCGUGAACCUCUUUUGUCAGGGAACAAAGGCGGGGACGCGUCCCCGGAUGAGUGUACCUGAAGAAAAGGCAUCGGCUAACUCCGUGCCAGCAGCCGCGGUAAUACGGAGGAUGCGAGCGUUAUCCGGAUUUAUUGGGUUUAAAGGGUGCGUAGGCGGGCUGUUAAGUCAGGGGUCAAAUGGCGGGGCUCAACCCCGGCCUGCCGUUGAAACUGGCGGCCUCGAGUGGGCGAGAAGUAUGCGGAAUGCGCGGUGUAGCGGUGAAAUGCAUAGAUACCGCGCAGAACUCCGAUUGCGAAGGCAGCAUGCCGGCUCCACACUGACGCUGAGGCACGAAAGCGUGGGUAUCGAACAGGAUUAGAUACCCGAGUA